ensembl:snRNA U6 U6 spliceosomal RNA
GUGCUUGCUUCAGCAACACAUAUACUAAAAUUGAAACAAUACAGAGUAGAUCAGCAUGGCCCCUGCACAAGGACGACAGGUAAAUCUGUGAAGUGCUCCAUAUUUUU